rnacentral:SRP_RNA from 2 species
GCCAGGCGUGGCGGCGCACGCCUGUAAUCCCAGCUACUCAGGAGGCUGAGACAGGAGAAUCACUUGAACCCGGGAGGCAGAGGUUGCAGUGAGCUGAGAUCAUGCCACUGCAUUCCAGCCUGGGCGACAGAGUGAGACUUUGUCUCAA